CGGCGGCGAGCAUGCCAAUCAACGUUAACACCGAAUCGGCUACAGCGUACCUGUAGAGUUUGACGGUCCGAAACGAAGACGACGAGACGAUACCGCCGGAUGCAGGAAAUUCAAAAACUAAUCUUAAUUCGGUACCGUUUUCCUUUUCGACGCCUGUGGGAAUUUCGUACAAUUUGUCGCACAAUACGCUGUGAAAGUACUGUUCAAAAAUGAAACAGCAUAUUAUAGUUGGGCAGUUUGGAUUUUCAUCGAUGAACGGAUUACGUGUUAUAUACCUGCCAAAAGUGCGACAUGGUGAUGAUGUCAUCGAAUUUGAGAGAUACGUCGUAAUCGUUGUCCGAAUAAGUCGAAAAAGUAGGUUCCACGAAUAACGAUGAUAUUUCUCUAUUAACCACGAACGUCUCGUAUGAGUAGAGACUGGAACAUGCUGCAUUAUGUGGUAUCAUCGUUAAUUAUAAUUCACAGUUAUUAUUAUUAUUAUUGGUAUAACAAGCACAGCGGUGUAUUUGAAGUUCUCGAUCAUGUUGUGUGUGUGCUUAUAAUGUCGGAAGGAGGCAUAAAAUUACCUAAAAAAGAACAAUCUUACAAAGGAUCAAAUCACCUGCCAAGAGGGACGAUCCACUAAACACCCGUUCAAAUACGCCACUGUCUUUCAAUACUUAUACCUACAGUUAUCGACCUUAUAGUUAAUGGUCUCAUGGCGUACAAAUGUACAACUGUUAUUACAAAAGUUACGAGUGACGACUAUUUUAAUCAGUUAAAAGAUGUUAUUCGGUUUAUCGAUUUUAAAAUAUUUAACAAAAAAUGGUUUUAAGGUAGAUUACGAGUAUGUACAAAAAUGGAUUGAGCUGUCGAAAUGUCUAUAUGGGUUUGUUUUCAUUGUUUUCAGUAAAAACAAUAUCUGCAGUAAUAGUUAUGUAUUAGAAUAAAACUAAGAAAAUUGUUCAUAUAGCAUGUUAUGAUAUUUCGAGGCGUCAAUUCAAGGCUUUUGGCGUUGACAGACGCAUCAAAUUUUUCAUACUAAUCACCAAUUGUAAGUGUCCAAUCAAUAAUAAUAAUGCGUAAGCGAUUCAAUAGUUCAAAUGUAAAUAUGUUGUAUCAUAAUAUUAAUAAAUUGGGCCGAAGAAAAGUGGUAUGAAAAUGAAAAAUAUUACAUUUAUGAAUAAGGUACAUAACACGAAUAACAAUUUAAAAGAAAGAUUUCUUUGAAAGUACAAACAAGUCGAUGUAGGUAUUCUUAAAUUAUGUUUGUGGCGUGUAACAUAUAAUAUUGUAUUUCUUUAAAUUUAAUUUUUAAUUUUUUUAAUCGUAUUUUCUAUUACAAUUAUUUAUUAUAAUUUAUUAAAAAUAAUUGUCCGAUUGCAUCCAAGAUAAUAAUUUAAAAUAUAUUAAUGUGUAACUGUAUGUAUAAGCUUGUUAACCAUAUAAAAUUCAAAUAAUUUCAGCCAAAUUAUACCUAACGGCUAACUGUAUUACUUUUAAGUUUUAACAUAAUUAUUAUUAGAGAAAGGAUUAUGUAGGAGUGUAGGUAUAAUGACUUUUGUAGUUUUGCAUAAUAUCUGUGUAUCUCAUUUAAAUCUCUAAUUCAACCAAAAUAUCUAAAAACACAUGGCCCGAUAUCAGAUUCAAUUAAAAUGCUAAACUACAUUGAGUAUAGGUUUUAUAGGUAUAAAAUUUGACUAUAUUUGACAAUAAAGACGUACGUCACUUAACUAAUACUAUGUUUAACGUAUACCUACGAACUAAAUGAAAUAAAUUUCAUACACUUAUUUAACAUUAAGAACUUAUUAUACAAUAGGUUCUAUAAUUUUAAUGAUAUAAUAAUAGUGCACAUAAUCAUUAAACAUUUGGUAUUUACAUAUAUAUAGAUUGGUAUUAUAAUUUUAAUGUUGAUAAAUACCUACAGAUAUUAUAAUAUUUUGUUUUCUAGGGGGUUAUACCUUUAUAAAUAUCGAUAUUAUUCAAGUAACUGAUAAUACGUAGUUAAUGCGACAAAAAUGAUUAUACAAAAUCGAAUAAUAUAACAGCUUAUAUGCCGGUAUUUAAAUAUUCUUAAUAUCUAUACGUAUAACAAUAAGUUCAGGAAAAUCUUAAUAUUGUUAAUGAAUUAUAGAAACGAUAGGCAAGAAAAAGUCUACGAGUUUUUUUUGAUAUAAAGAAUAUAGUCAGACUCCGAUUAAAAAGUGAUAUUUUAGAUUAAAUUCCGCAUUGUACAGCGUUAACGUCAAAAUCAUAUUAGGUACCGCUUACGUAUAAUAUCACUAUACGUAUCUUAAAGUAAAAUUUUGUAUUAUACGCGUCCUCCUCAUUACUCAUUAUAGACAUAAAAUAUAUCAUUAGUGAAUAAAGAAUAUGUAUAUAUAUAUAAUAUUAUGUACACAGUAUGUACUAUCGCUUUUCGCGUAUAUAUACAGUACCUAUAUAUAUUCUCCAAAUCCAUUAUACCGUACAUCGGGGUGUCGUUGUGCAUUAUGCAAAACCGAUGAGCCAUUAAGUGUUGUACAAAUUAUUUUUUAGGUCUGCCCCCGCCCAAACUUCGUGACAGGUCUCCGGGAAUAGGGAACAUAUGACAUUUUCUUUUGUCCUUGCCGACACCACGUACACCACGGCUCGAGGGAGCUAACCCCUAUAUACUGUUUGGCAAUGAUUUUUUUAAUUUUUUUUUUUUUUUUUACUUUACGACUAUGAAUAAAUUACUGCAGCCGCACGACGCAUACAAUGAAGUCAUAUGACUAAUUACUUUAAAAUGAUUUUUCUCUUUGGCGAUAAAAAAUAUAAUCGAUAUAUUGACGUAUUAUACUGUUGCAGUCGUGCAUUGUACAAAAGAGCACAGAAACACAAGUGUGCAGAAAAUAAGGGAAACAUCGAAUCAAUAAAAAUACGAUUAGGUGACGAGCCUUAAUAUUUUACAUCCAACAAACGGAUAUAGUUUUUAUAUGGUUUAAUAAUUAUAUUUACAAAGGUACUUAUUUAGCUGUAUUGUUUGGAUAAAAUUCUUCAAGAUGGUGAUGUUUAAUCUAUAAUGUGAAGAUGAAUAAUAUACGAGUAUUUACAAAAGGUAUCGCAAUUAUAGUAAUAUAAAACCAUGAGAUAUUUUUUAUGUUUAAGUGUAUUUAUAUUAAAUUGUUCAAAUACUAAAAAGUAAAAACAACAUUAUUUCCUAUGUAGCUAUAAGUACACAGGAAAUGUAUUUACUUAGAAAUAACAUUAAAAUCUAAACAUUAUAUUUUUCAAUAUUAUAAUAUAGAGUACUAUAGCACAAAUUAUACAUUUAUACAUUAUAUAUAUUUGUAAAAUUGCAAAUACCUAAGUGUUUAUGUAUUAAUAACAUUAAAAUAUAUCAUAAUCAUUGUAUUAUAAUACACAUAGCAGAUAUUAUGAGUAAGACCAGUCAGGCUAUGGCCUUAACAAAUACUGUCUGUAGGAUAUCAUAGUAAUUUCAUUACAUUAAAAAAUGUAAAUUAUUGUACAAAGUUUUAAUUAGAUUUUUUUACAUAUUUAUUACUUGACCUGUCCCUGUCUAGUUUCGUCUAUGAUUA